AGUGGAUGGUGUGUGUAGUGUUUGUUUGCGUUUAGGGCAGUCUCCAGUCUGUGUCUUACAGGCUUUGUGACUGUUCUCAUGCCACACUCAAAGCCACAGAGCCACUGGAGAUCAUAGUACUGGCCCAGUGAUGUCUUUAUGACCCUCUACCACUGGUCAGCCUCCAUAGUCUCCUACAAAA